CCUACGGGUGGCAGCAGUGGGGAAUAUUGCACAAUGGGGGAAACCCUGAAGCAGCGACGCCGCGUGAGUGAAGAAGUAACUCGUUAUGUAAAGCUCUAUCAGCAGGGAAGAAAAUGACGGUACCUGAGUAAGAAGCCCCGGCAAAAUACGUGCCAGCAGCCGCGGGAAUACGUAGGGGGCAAGCGUUGUCCGGAUUUACUGGGUGUAAAGGGCGUGUCGCCGGGUUGACCAGUCAGAUGUGAAAUCCUGCGGCUUAACCGCAGAACUGCAGUUGAAACUGUUGAUCUUGAGUACUGGAGAGGCAGACGGAAUUCCUAGUGUAGCGGUGAAAUGCGUAGAUAUUAGGAGGAACACCAGUGGCGAAGGCAGUCUGCUGGACAGCAACUGACGGUGAGGCGCGAAAGCGUGGGGAGCGAACAGGAUUAGAUACCCGGGUAGUC
rnacentral:rRNA from 1 species